GCAAGUCGAACGAGAAAGGGGCCUUCGGGUCCUGAGUAAAGUGGCGCACGGGUGAGUAACGCGUAGGCAAUCUGCCCUCAGGCGGGGAAUAACCACGGGAAACCGUGGCUAAUACCACAUAACGUCGGAUGUCCGCAUGGACGACCGAUCAAAGGCUUCGGCCACCUGGGGAUGAGCCUGCGUCGGAUUAGCUUGUUGGUGAGGUAAAGGCUCACCAAGGCGACGAUCCGUAGCUGGUCUGAGAGGAUGAUC
rnacentral:rRNA from 1 species